GACGAACGCUGGCGGCGUGCUUAACACAUGCAAGUCGAGCGGAAAGGCCACUUCGGUGGUACUCGAGCGGCGAACGGGUGAGUAACACGUGAGUAAUCUGCCCCUGGCUUCGGGAUAGCCACCGGAAACGGUGAUUAAUACCGGAUAUGACAGACCCUCGCAUGGGGGUGUGUGGAAAGUUUUUCGGCCUGGGAUGUGCUCGCGGCCUAUCAGCUUGAUGGUGAGGUAAUGGCUCACCAUGGCUUCGACGGGUAGCCGGCCUGAGAGGGUGACCGGCCACACUGGGACUGAGACACGGCCCAGACUCCUACGGGAGGCAGCAGUGGGGAAUAUUGGACAAUGGGCGGAAGCCUGAUCCAGCAACGCCGCGUGAGGGAUGACGGCCUUCGGGUUGUAAACCUCUUUCAGUACCGACGAAGCGCAAGUGACGGUAGGUACAGAAGAAGCACCGGCCAACUACGUGCCAGCAGCCGCGGUAAUACGUAGGGUGCGAGCGUUGUCCGGAAUUAUUGGGCGUAAAGGGCUCGUAGGCGGUUUGUCGCGUCGGGAGUGAAAACGCCGUGCUUAACACGGCGCUUGCUUCCGAUACGGGCAGACUAGAGGUAUUCAGGGGAGAACGGAAUUCCUGGUGUAGCGGUGAAAUGCGCAGAUAUCAGGAGGAACACCGGUGGCGAAGGCGGUUCUCUGGGAAUGACCUGACGCUGAGGAGCGAAAGUGUGGGGAGCGAACAGG
rnacentral:rRNA from 1 species